GUGUCAGCCGCCGCGGUAAUACGGAGGAUCCAAGCGUUAUCCGGAAUCAUUGGGUUUAAAGGGUCCGUAGGCGGUUUAAUAAGUCAGUGGUGAAAGCCCAUCGCUCAACGGUGGAACGGCCAUUGAUACUGUUAAACUUGAAGUAUUAGGAAGUAACUAGAAUAUGUAGUGUAGCGGUGAAAUGCUUAGAGAUUACAUGGAAUACCAAUUGCGAAGGCAGGUUACUACUAAUGGAUUGACGCUGAUGGACGAAAGCGUGGGUAGCGAACAGGAUUAGAAACCCUGGUAGUCC
rnacentral:rRNA from 1 species